rnacentral:rRNA from 1 species
CUACGGGGUGCUGCAGUGAGGAAUUUUGCGCAAUGGGGGAAACCCUGACGCAGCAACGCCGCGUGAGCGAAGAAGGCCUUCGGGUCGUAAAGCUCUGUCAAGUGGGAAAAAACGCCUCAGAUUAAUAGUCUGAGGAAUUGAUGGUACCACUGGAGGAAGCACCGGCUAACUCCGUGCCAGCAGCCGCGGUAGGAUACGGAGGGUGCAAGCGUUGUUCGGAAUUACUGGGCGUAAAGCGCGUGCAGGCGGUUUGGCAAGUCAGAUGUGAAAGCCCUGGGCUUAACCCAGGAAGUGCAUUUGAAACUGCCUUUCUUGAGUAUGGGAGAGGAGAGAGGAAUUCCCAGUGUAGAGGUGAAAUUCGUAGAUAUUGGGAGGAACACCCGUGGCGAAGGCGACUCUCUGGACCAAUACUGACGCUGAGACGCGAAAGCGUGGGGAGUAAACAGGAUUAGAUACCCCCGUAGUC